rnacentral:lncRNA from 1 species
UACAUAUUCAAAAAGAGAAUGGUUAAAACUACCAAAUACUAAAACUAAAUCUUCGACAGCAGUGCCAAAAACUUGAUGAUGUAUUACUACAAUCAGAUCCAACAAGUGUAAUUGUUCGUUGUAGUAUCUCAAGUGUCGUAUUCAUAGGGAUUUAGCAAGUAUAUUGGUAGUUAGCUUUUGGGUUUUUAAAUAAAGAUAAUAGUAUAUAUAUCAUAUAGAUUAAGUGGAGUGAAGACUGUGAUUGAAUUUC